GAAGAAGAGGAAGAAGAAGAAGAUAAAGAAGAGGAGACUUAAAGAGCCGGGGAUCCAAGACAUGGCCUCCUAAAGCCUACAGUGGAAGUUUCCCCUUUCCUGAGAACCAGAGUUGCUGCCACGGAGAAACCAAUAACUCCUGACUGCAUGUGGUGGCACACACAUGUAAUUCCAGAGGUGGAAGGCAGGACGAGCAGGAGUUCACAGUCUUCCUCUGUUCUACAAUGGAAUUUGGAAGGGAAAAGACAUAGCAGACAUAUCCACCUGGACUCUCCAGACAGAAAUCCAGGAUGCUGACUUCAGUAAGAAUGUGCCUUAAAGACCCAGACUUCAUCUUUAGCCUCUGCAGCAAGUAAGGUGUCCCUGCUGGCCCCUAGCAGGCCCCCUCUUCCUUCCUACACGUUCCAACCUGAAGUCUGGAAACCAAACUAACAAAAGAUAGACUGAUAAGAGAAUAACAGUUGAAUUAUGGACUUACAUACUUAUCAGAGUUUCCCAAGAAAUGAGAAGAAAGGAGGCACCAAGGAUGAAGGCUUCUGCAGCAUCUUAAGCUAAACAAAUGGGAAGGGGCUCAAGGCCUCCGGGUGAAGGGGGCCAGUACUGGGGAGGAGGUG